UCCGCCCUGGUGAGGGAGCUUUUUGGCAGGACUUUCUCCCGGCCUCGUCGUGCAGAGAUUGCAGAGGGGGAGGGGAGCACGGGAUGGGCGUGGGGGGAGAGCAGGCCUGCAGGUGCUGUGCCAGGCGAGAGACCUGGUAAUUAUGGGGUUUCUGAGUGCUGAGCAAGCAGGGCGCUGGGCCCUUCCUUGUGUGAUGGGAACCCACCGACAUCCCCUCACUGAAUCCUCUCCUGCGCCCAAGGAGGCGGGGACCACGGCCCGGUUCCACAUCAGGAACCGAAGCUCGCAGGGCGGCCUGCCUUUGCCGGAGGCCACACGGACCAGGAAACUAAUACAGAGGGAAACCAGCACAAGGAGGACUCAGAUCAGCUGGAGAAGAUGCUGGGGACCGGUUUAGUCCACUCCGGCUGCCAUACCAGAACACCACACGGGGGCUGAAACAACAGACAGGCACUGCCUCUCAGUCUGGAGUCUGGGAGUCCGAGAUCAAGGUGUCAGCACAGCUGGUCUCCUCGGAGGCCUCUCUCCUUGCUGUGUAGACGGGCACCCUCUUCACGUGGCCAUCCCUCUGGGCACACGCACUCCUGGCUUCUCCCUGUGUCCUAAUCUUUUCUUAUAGGGACACCAGCCAGAUUAUGGGCCUCAUUUUAACGAAUCACCUCUGUAAAGACCCUGUUUCCAAAUAGUCAUAUUCUGAGGUGCUGGGGGAGGGGUUAGGGCUUCAACACGGGAAUUCGGGGGCACGUAACAGGGAGCCUCCAAGCCUGCCUCAUUCCCACAAGGCCCUCACUUUUCUGGCGUUCCAGACCUCCCUAGGGCCCAGCGUGAGCCCAGGCAGCCUCAGCCUGUAGAACCAGUUGGAGCUGCCAGGAGAACCGGUCGGGGCAGUCCCGGGGGUGUGGGUUUGCAGAAGGGACCGGAGUUCCCUGAGGACUGGUGGUCAGGACAGGACCCAGGCACCAGGCACGGAGGAACUCAGUCUCUCCCAGGCCAGACCCCAGAGCCACUCUCCCAGUCCUAACAAGGGCCGCUGAAGGCACCAGGGAACAAGCAGCAGUGGCUGGUGGCAGGCAGCGGGGUCGGGAGUUAGACGUGCUCUGGUGACUUGGCUCUUUGCAGGGACAUUGACACGGAAGGGGCAGAAGAGGCAGCAAAGCAUGCAACACGCAGCCCCCAAUGCAGCCCAGGACUAAGAGAGGAGAGAUCUCCUGAUUCCUCCCUCUCUCGACACCACCCAGGCCCCUGACCACUCAGGGCCCCAGAGCCUCAGGCAGCAGGAGUGACAGACUGCCUUCCAGACUCCCUCCUCGCUGACCUGUAGCCUCCAGCCUCCACUGGGCUCCCCUCCCCCCUCCUCCAGGCCGGGAUGGACUCGCUCACACCCACAAACUGCAAAGGCGCAGGGCGGGUUUCAGACAGAAGACAGCCCAUGCCAGGUACACGAAUGGAGAAGAUUCAAUACAUAUAGUUACAUAAGGUAUAAAAUUGCUACACUGGUGACUCAAAAGGUAAAAAGAGGCUGAGGCAGCAAAGGGAACAGCUGGGAUUGUUAAAACGCGGAAACGUGGGCCUUGGACCCCAACCUCGGAGGGAGGGGGUCUGGCGGGUGCUGGCGUGUCUGAGGUGCCAUGAAGUUGUUUUUACAAGCGUUGGAAAAGCCACAAAGGGAUUCAGCUCCCCACCCCGACCCUCUGCCUCUGGGACACUGAGUGUUUCUACAGCUUCUUCAUAAAAACACAACUCACAUCCACACGGAGAGAAUCACAUCCUUCCCGAACUCUUUCCUCCUGCAUCACCACCGGCCUGUCUCAGCCAAGGGUGAAAAGUCUUGGAAUCUAAUAGGGUGGCCGUUGAACCCAACCCUGACCCUUUUUCUCUCUUGCUACUUCAGCUUGUGUGAUGGUUGAUUUUAGGUGUCAACCUCAUGGGACUGACUGAUGCCCAGGUAGCUGGUAAAAUAUGAUUUCUGCCUGUGGCUACGAGGGCGCUUCUAGAAGAGAUUCACAUUUGAAUCAGUGGGUGAGGAAAGCUGAUCCCCCUCCCCAAGGUGAUGGACCACGUUCAAUUCUUUGAGGACCCACGUGGAACCAAAGGUGGAGGAAGGGGAAUUCACUCUCUCUGUUGAGCGGGGACGUCCAGCUUCUCCUGCCCUCAGACGUUGGUGCUUGUGGUUCUCAGGCCUUCGGACUUGGACUGAAUCACACCCCAGCUCUCCUGGGCCUCUCAGAUGGUGGGACUUCUGACUUCUCAGCCUCCAUAAUCACGGAGAAAACCAAACCAUAAAAGCAUCAGUCAUCCCCUGAUGAAGAAAUGAUGGUCCAGCUCAUGAAGACCAGGCAAUCGGGGCUGAAUAAUCAUCAGAGCUUCCAAACCACCAGGGGUCUGAGGUCUCUACAGACCUAUGCUUCCAGGAGCUUUGAAUUUAUCAGAACUGGCAAGAAGCAUCGAGUCGAGCACCACACGUUGUCUUGUGCAGACUCUACUUGAACACUUCUGGUGAUGG